rnacentral:lncRNA from 1 species
GGAUGUGAGGGCGAUCUGGUUGCGACAUCUGUCACCCCAUUGAUCGCCAGGGUUGAUUCGGCUGAUCUGGCUGGCUAGGCGGGUGUCCCCUUCCUCCCUCACCGCUCCAUGUGCGUCCCUCCCGAAGCUGUGCGCUCGGUCGAAGAGGACGACCAUCCCCGAUAGAGGAGGACCGGUCUUCGGCCAAGGGUAUAUGAGUAGCUGCGCUCCCCUGCUAGAACCUCCAAACAAGCUCUCAAG